rnacentral:tRNA from 1 species
UAUAUUUAAGUAUAUGAUGUACAAAAGUUUUUGAUACUUUAAGAAAUAGUUUAAAUCUAUUAGAUAUAU